rnacentral:rRNA from 1 species
GACGAACGCUGGCGGCGUGCCUAAUACAUGCAAGUAGAACGCACAGUUUAUACCGUAGCUUGCUACACCAUAGACUGUGAGUUGCGAACGGGUGAGUAACGCGUAGGUAACCUGCCUGGUAGCGGGGGAUAACUAUUGGAAACGAUAGCUAAUACCGCAUAAUAUUAAUUAUUGCAUGAUAAUUAAUUGAAAGGUGCAAUUGCACCACUACCAGAUGGACCUGCGUUGUAUUAGCUAGUAGGUGAGGUAACGGCUCACCUAGGCGACGAUACAUAGCCGACCUGAGAGGGUGAUCGGCCACACUGGGACUGAGACACGGCCCAGACUCCUACGGGAGGCAGCAGUAGGGAAUCUUCGGCAAUGGACGAAAGUCUGACCGAGCAACGCCGCGUGAGUGAAGAAGGUUUUCGGAUCGUAAGGCUCUGUUGUAAGAGAAGAACGGGUGUGAGAGUGGAAAGUUCACACUGUGACGGUAUCUUACCAGAAAGGGACGGCUAACUACGUG